rnacentral:rRNA from 1 species
GACGAACGCUGGCGGCGUGCUUAACACAUGCAAGUCGAACGGUAAGGCCCUUCGGGGUACACGAGUGGCGAACGGGUGAGUAACACGUGGGUGAUCUGCCCUGCACUUCGGGAUAAGCCUGGGAAACUGGGUCUAAUACCGGAUAGGACAACUGCCUGCAUGGGUGGUGGUGGAAAGCUUUUGCGGUGUGGGAUGGGCCUGCGGCCUAUCAGCUUGUUGGUGGGGUGUUGGCCUACCAAGGCGACGACGGGUAGCCGGCCUGAGAGGGUGACCGGCCACACUGGGACUGAGAUACGGCCCAGACUCCUACGGGAGGCAGCAGUGGGGAAUAUUGCACAAUGGGCGCAAGCCUGAUGCAGCGACGCCGCGUGAGGGAUGACGGCCUUCGGGUUGUAAACCUCUUUCAGCACCGACGAAGCGCAAGUGACGGUAGGUGCAGAAGAAGGACCGGCCAACUACGUGCCAGCCGCCGCCGUAA